rnacentral:rRNA from 1 species
GUCUAUGGCCAUGCCACCCUGAACAUGCCCGAUCCCGUCUAAUCUCAGAAGCUAAGCAGGGUCAAGCCUGGUUAGUACUUGGAUAGGAGACCACCUAGGAAGACCGGAUCUGUAGGCG